AGAUAUGAGCCCAUUAAAAACCAGGAGGAAAGGAAUAAAAUGCUUAAUAAAAUCUUUAAGUACCUGAGUGGAGGACCUCUCUAAGCUGAAAAGCAAGGAAAUGACAUCAAGAAGAGAAAGGCCAACAGCGAACAGGGAUAAGUGAUGGCCUGUGUCCCAAGUGGCCUGGAGUGGACGGCACUAGAUGGACAGAUAGGGGCUUAGCCUUGGAUAGCAAGCAUGCAACGACCCACCCACCCAAACCUGGGAGGCUUAGCACUCGGCAGGUGACCUCAUCUGUUCUCAAGCCAUCACUGGGAGGUACUCAAUAAAUAUUUGCUGGGGUGAAAUAACUGAAAUGGGAAAUUAGAUCAAAGAGGAAAAAUACCAGCAUUAAGCUAUUGAUGAUACAAGAAGUGUCCAGGUGCUGUGGCUCACGCCUAUAAUCCCAGCACUUUGGGAGGCCAAGGCGGGUGGAUCACCUGAGGCCAGGAGUUCGAGACUAGCCUGGCCAACAUGGCAAAACCCCAUCUCUACUAAAAAUACAAAAAAUUAGCUGGGCAUGGUGGCAUGCACCUGUAACCCCAGCUACUCGGGUGACUGAGGCAUACGAAUCGCUUAAACCCGGGAGGCGGAGCUGCAGUGAGCCGAGAUCAUGCUGCUGCACUCCAGCCUCAGUGGCAGAGCGAGACCCUGUCUCAAAAAAAAAAAAAAAAAAAAAAGAUGAUAGAGGAAGGCCAGGAACCACCCUUGGCUAGUUAACUUGGGCUGCCUGGAGUAUUGAGAAUUGACACCUACAUGGUGGCCAGUACUAGGAUGACCAACCUCUCCUAUGGGCACAGUUCUGUACAGUUUACAAGGGUUUUUUUUUUCUUUUUUUUUUUUUUUUUUCGGUGGGGGCGGGUCUCACAUACUCAUGGUAUUACCCAUUUAGGGUCUUGAGGUUUGAGGACCCUAUGUAGACUUACCCUCAGUCUGUUGGGUGAGUUUGCUUCUAUCAUCUUGGAUUCUUGAUUAUCCCUAUUUUUUAGAGGAGAGGACAAACUUCAGUUCUUCCAGAAAGAACUGGCAAAAAUAGGCCUGUACUCCUCUGACUUCACUGUCUUCUUUACACACCAUGCCACUUUCCUGAACAAUAUACAAGUUUACCAUGUAAUUAUUUUAGAACCCAGGGUCCAAAUAUUUUUGUGGUCAAGAUUCGACGGGCAAAGUCCUCACACUGAGUUUUCCCAGCAAGGAUGCUUUCCACUCACUUGCUGGAUGGCUGUGGGUCACCUCCCCUCACUGGGCUUUGGUUUCCCCAUCUGUGAAAUGAGGUAGUUGGAUUAGAUAAUUCCACAGUUCCCUUCCAGCUCUAGCAUUACCCUCAGAUACCUUGAACAAGGAGGAUGGGGACCCCAGGUUCUGGGUCAAGAACUCAUCUUGCAGCAUGGAGGAAUCGUGAUGAUGGCUGCAGCCCCCAGAAGAUGAACUUGGCAGGAGCUGGCUGAGAUGAUUUUUCUGCUGAUGGUGAAAUGUGCUGGCAGAGUCUAUACAGCCACUUUUAGGUGAUAUAUUACGUUCUGGUGAAAGCAUUCUUCCUAAUACAAGCUGAGAGCUUACAGCUAGGAGACAACCUCCAGGAGCAGAGAUCACACACUCUCGGGCAGAAAAACAGCUUCUGUAUUCUUCCCUGUUUACCAUUCUGGCAUCAAUUUCAAGUGCUCAGUCCCUCAAGCUCUUUCCUCUUUACAAAAGCCCGGCUACUGCAACAAAGCAUCCUGUCUGCUGUAAGUUUCAAGAGACUCUUUGAAACUACUGACCAUCUUUCUCACUGCAUUCAUGCUGCAACAACCCAAAUCCUGCAAAGCUCUGACUGAAUCAGGAAAAAGUGACCUUGGUAGCUAGUCUCCAAAGAUGGCCACCACCAAUACUUGCCUUCCUGCGAUAUAUAUCAUACUCCUUGUAUCAGGAAGAGAAGUGUAAUUCCCUCCCCAUGAAUCUAGGCUGGCCUUAGUGACUUUCUUGGCCAAUAGAAUAUAGCAGAAGGCACAUUCUGGGAUUUGUAAGACUAGGUCUCAGGAAGCCUUAUGGCCUCUGCCAGGCCUCUUGCAAUGCUUGGCGUUGGAACACUCCCUCCUACAAGCCAGCUGCCAUGCUAUGAGAAGUGCAGGUCCUGUGGUAAAUCCACAUGUGGUCACUCCAGUCAACAGUCUCAGCAAGCCCCCAGCUGACUGUCAACUAUGUGAAUGAGCCUGCAGAUGACUCCAGCCCCAGCUGCCAUCUGACUGCAGCUGCAUGAAACACUUAAGCAAGAACCACCUUGCUGAGCCCUAUCAACCCCGGAACCAUGAGGAAUAAUAAACUGUUUUUGUUGUUG